GUGGGGAAUAUUGGACAAUGGGCGCAAGCCUGAUCCAGCAAUGCCGCGUGGGUGAAGAAGGUCUUCGGAUCGUAAAGCCCUUUCGACAGGGACGAUGAUGACGGUACCUGUAGAAGAAGCCCCGGCUAACUUCGUGCCAGCAGCCGCGGUAAUACGAAGGGGGCUAGCGUUACUCGGAAUUACUGGGCGUAAAGGGCGCGUAGGCGGCUCUGUUAGUCAGGCGUGAAAUUCCUGGGCUUAACCUGGGGACUGCGCUUGAUACUGCAGGGCUUGAGGCCGAGAGAGGGUGGUGGAAUUCCCAGUGUAGAGGUGAAAUUCGUAGAUAUUGGGAAGAACACCGGUGGCGAAGGCGGCCAACUGGUCCAUUACUGACGCUGAGGUGCGAAAGCGUGGGGAGCAAACAGGAUUAGAAACCCCUGUAGUCC
rnacentral:rRNA from 1 species